rnacentral:rRNA from 1 species
GAUGAACGCUAGCGGCAGGCUUAAUACAUGCAAGUCGAGGGACAGCACAGGUAGCAAUACUGGGUGGUAACCGGCAAACGGGUGCGGAACACGUACACAACCUUCCUUUAAGUGGGGGAUAGCCCAGAGAAAUUUGGAUUAAUACCCCGUAAUAUAGUUGAAUGGCAUCAUUUGAUUAUUAUAGCUACGGCGCUUAAUGAUGGGUGUGCGGCUGAUUAGAUAGUUGGCGGGAUAACGGACCACCAAGUCUACGAUCAGUAGCUGAUGUGAGAGCAUGAUCAGCCACACGGGCACUGAGACACGGGCCCGACUCCUACGGGAGGCAGCAGUAAGGAAUAUUGGUCAAUGGACGCAAGUCUGAACCAGCCAUGCCGCGUGAAGGAUUAAGGUCCUCUGGAUUGUAAACUUCUUUUAUUUGGGACGAAAAAGGGCCUUUCUAGGUCAACUGACGGUACCAGAUGAAUAAGCACCGGCUAACUCCGUGCCAGCCGCCGCGGUAAGAC